rnacentral:rRNA from 2 species
CGCUGGCGGCGUGCCUAAUACUGCAAGUCGAACGAACUCUGGUAUUGAUUGGUGCUUCCAUCAUGAUUUACAUUUGAGUGAGUGGCGAACUGGUGAGUAACACGUGGGAAACCUGCCCAGAAGCGGGGGAUAACACCUGGAAACAGAUGCUAAUACCGCAUAACAACUUGGACCGCAUGGUCCGAGUUUGAAAGAUGGCUUCGGCUAUCACUUUUGGAUGGUCCCGCGGCGUAUUAGCUAGAUGGUGGGGUAACGGCUCACCAUGGCAAUGAUACGUAGCCGACCUGAGAGGGUAAUCGGCCACAUUGGGACUGAGACACGGCCCAAACUCCUACGGGAGGCAGCAGUAGGGAAUCUUCCACAAUGGACGAAAGUCUGAUGGAGCAACGCCGCGUGAGUGAAGAAGGGUUUCGGCUCGUAAAACUCUGUUGUUAAAGAAGAACAUAUCUGAGAGUAACUGUUCAGGUAUUGACGGUAUUUAACCAGAAAGCCACGGCUAACUACGUGCCAGCAGCCGCGGUAAUACGUAGGUGGCAAGCGUUGUCCGGAUUUAUUGGGCGUAAAGCGAGCGCAGGCGGUUUUUUAAGUCUGAUGUGAAAGCCUUCGGCUCAACCGAAGAAGUGCAUCGGAAACUGGGAAACUUGAGUGCAGAAGAGGACAGUGGAACUCCAUGUGUAGCGGUGAAAUGCGUAGAUAUAUGGAAGAACACCAGUGGCGAAGGCGGCUGUCUGGUCUGUAACUGACGCUGAGGCUCGAAAGUAUGGGUAGCAAACAGGAUUAGAUACCCUGGUAGUCCAUACCGUAAACGAUGAAUGCUAAGUGUUGGAGGGUUUCCGCCCUUCAGUGCUGCAGCUAACGCAUUAAGCAUUCCGCCUGGGGAGUACGGCCGCAAGGCUGAAACUCAAAGGAAUUGACGGGGGCCCGCACAAGCGGUGGAGCAUGUGGUUUAAUUCGAAGCUACGCGAAGAACCUUACCAGGUCUUGACAUACUAUGCAAAUCUAAGAGAUUAGACGUUCCCUUCGGGGACAUGGAUACAGGUGGUGCAUGGUUGUCGUCAGCUCGUGUCGUGAGAUGUUGGGUUAAGUCCCGCAACGAGCGCAACCCUUAUUAUCAGUUGCCAGCAUUAAGUUGGGCACUCUGGUGAGACUGCCGGUGACAAACCGGAGGAAGGUGGGGAUGACGUCAAAUCAUCAUGCCCCUUAUGACCUGGGCUACACACGUGCUACAAUGGAUGGUACAACGAGUUGCGAACUCGCGAGAGUAAGCUAAUCUCUUAAAGCCAAUCGCAGUUCGGAUUGUAGGCUGCAACUCGCCUACAUGAAGUCGGAAUCGCUAGUAAUCG